ACAGAGACAAAGUUUGGAGCUGAGAU
rnacentral:piRNA from 1 species